UACGUAGGGACCGAGCGUUGUCCGGAAUCAUUGGGCGUAAAGAGCGUGUAGGCGGCUUGCUAAGUCCUGCGUGAAAUCUCGGGGCUCAACCCCGAGCGGUCGUGGGAAACUGGCAGGCUAGAGUGCGGGAGAGGAGAGUGGAAUUCCUGGUGUAGCGGUGAAAUGCGCAGAUAUCAGGAAGAACACCCGUGGCGAAGGCGGCUCUCUGGAACGCAAACUGGACGCUGA
rnacentral:rRNA from 1 species